AACGAACGCUGGCGGCAGGCUUAACACAUGCAAGUCGAACGCCCCGCAAGGGGAGUGGCAGACGGGUGAGUAACGCGUGGGAACAUACCCUUUUCUACGGAAUAGCUCUGGGAAACUGGAAUUAAUACCGUAUACGCCCUACGGGGGAAGGAUUUAUCGGGGAAGGAUUGGCCCGCGUUGGAUUAGCUAGUUGGUGGGGUCAAGGCCUACCAAGGCGACGAUCCAUAGCUGGUCUGAGAGGAUGAUCAGCCACAUUGGGACUGAGACACGGCCCAAACUCCUACGGGAGGCAGCAGUGGGGAAUAUUGGACAAUGGGCGCAAGCCUGAUCCAGCCAUGCCGCGUGAGUGAUGAAGGCCUUAGGGUUGUAAAGCUCUUUCACCGAUGAAGAUAAUGACGGUAGUCGGAGAAGAAGCCCCGGCUAACUUCGUGCCAGCCGCCGCAGUAAUAC
rnacentral:rRNA from 1 species